CUUAUACUUCCUUCGUUGGAAAAUAUUUGUUCUAAAAAUGAUGUAUCUAGAUUAGUUUUAGUUAUAAAUACAUUCAUUAUAUUCAUUUUUAGAACAAGUAUUUUCAAACGGGGAGGGAGUAUUUA
rnacentral:pre_miRNA from 1 species